rnacentral:rRNA from 1 species
AGAUUGAACGCUGGCGGAAUGCUUUACACAUGCAAGUCGAACGGCAGCACGGGAGCUUGCUCCUGGUGGCGAGUGGCGAACGGGUGAGUAAUAUAUCGGAACGUAUCCAAUAAUGGGGGAUAACUAAGCGAAAGCUUGGCUAAUACCGCAUACGCCCUGAGGGGAAGCUAGGGAUACGUUCGGACCUGGCGUUGAUGGAGCGGCCGAUAUCUGAUUAGCUAGUUGGUGGGUAAAGGCCCACCAAGGCGACGAUCAGUAGCUGGUCUGAGAGGACGACCAGCCACACUGGAACUGAGACACGGU